UGGGGGGGUGGGGUGGUCUGCAGCCCGGCAACAGGGCCCCCGGAAACUGUGGUGUUUCCCGCCACGGCAACGGUCUGCUGCUCAGCCGUGGCGGCAGCAGCGGCAGGGAAAGGAGGCUGGCAAAUAGGCGGGCGAGAGCGGCUGGCGAGCAGGCGGGGAGCCUGGCGCAGAGCUCGCAUGGUCGGCCGCGUUGACGUCCAGCCUGCGCCCGUGCCUGCCUACGGGUGAUGCGCUCAGCUCCUGGUCAGACUCGUCCCUGGGAAAGCAGCAGCCGCGUGCCUCGGCCUGGGCAGAGACCUGGGGCUCCAGGGCCCCGGCCAGGGCUGCCGGAGAGGCGCGACGCGCUUCUGACAGAGGGCCGUCAGCGGCUCCGUCGCUGGCGGGAUGCGUUCGAGCGGUCUCGAGGAGACGGGGAAGGGGCUCCCCGCCCUCAGCCGAAAGCAGCUUGGCGCGACCCCGGUGCCUGGGAGGCCGGACCCCCGCGGAGGUAGCCCAGUGAUGAGCCGCCGCCACCGCCUCCUCCUCUGAGCCGGGAGGGACCCGAUCAGGUACCGGUCACGACCGACGGGCGGGGAACGCGCGAGGGAGGGCCGUGCGACCCCUCGGCCGCCCAUCACGGCAGAGCCGGCCGACCGGGACGCACCGGCUUUUGCUCGAACGUCGGUGGAUCGAGAAGAGGCCCUGCCCGGGAGAGACAGGGUGCAGGGCCGCCACCUGCCGGGCUCUACAGCUGCCCGCUCUCCUUCGGCGGGCCGGCCGGGCUCGCCACGGCGGACGGGA